rnacentral:rRNA from 1 species
AUGUACGGUUUCUCUCCGCCGAGCCGCGACGUCGCCCCUCCGCCGUGGGUUCGCCGCAAAGACCUGCUCCUCCACGUCGACCUCGUCGAAGAUUGGACUCCGCUGUCCCCGCGCUCCUCCUCCUCCCCGCAGAGCGGCAUUCCUUCAUCCGAGUCGAAGGGCGACACCAGGCCCUUCCCUGCAGUCUACCCUGGUACCUGGGUGAUGAAGAUCGAAGAUGGUCAGGCCCCUGACGACCAAGGCCGUGCGCAUCGCCCCGGGCCUGGCGUGGCCAACACUGGCUGCCACGGCAUGCCUUUCGGCGGCCACAGACGCAGCCACGACGGCGACGAUGGAGGGGGCCGGCGCUCCUGGAAAGACACCCUCCUGGGGCGUGGGCGCUCCUCCCGUGAAGUUUCUGCGGCGGCGCAACCCCAGCAAAGUCAGCAACGCCAGCGUAGCCGCAUGCCCACCAGCCGGCACAACCAGCACCGCCACAACGUCUCCAAGAACAAGCAUGCCCCAUUCGCACACACCCAGGCUGAGGCUGCCGGACACGCUUCCCCAGAUCCGGUGGCAGCCUUUUCUGAAGAUGCAACGGUGCUGGCACCGCCUCCACCGCCCGCCCCUGCUGCGGUGAACGACGUCGACAUUGCGGCCGCGGAGGCAACGGCCGAGCCUCUCUGCUUCCCCGACAGCCAGAGCGACCACAACCCCAUGCCUGCUGCUGCUCUUUCCUCCCGGGCCUGCCGUGCACCUGCACCAUCCACUUCUGUUGGUGUGCAGGUGGGCGCGGUCACCCAGAGGGUUCAGCAGCUGGACAUCCAAGAGCAGGAUGGUACUGCGACCCCUCGUCAUCUCUUCACCGAUGUCCUAGCGCCCAUCCUGCCUCCACCACGUCCAUCUGCCCCGAAGAAGACGCGGACUGCCUCUGCCCCGGUGCGGCAGAGCGCCCGCCAGGCCAGCAACCGCACGGAGGUGCCCGUGGCACACCGUGCUACGCUCCGCAUCAUCCGCGACCUCGGGCUGCUGGGGCCAAACGACAAGAUGACCCCGAAGGCGGCGGACGCCCUGAUCAAGAAGUUUGACGAGCCCCUCACUGAAGACGACAUCAUUGGCCCUGCAAAGCUCACGCGCCAGGACCCUGCGGCUCUCCGCGUUACCGCCGGCCUCGCUGGCCCUGAUGGAGCUCCCCUUGGGGAGGUAGCUUAG